UACGUAGGGACCGAGCGUUGUCCGGAAUCAUUGGGCGUAAAGAGCGUGUAGGCGGCCUUUUAAGUCCUGCGUGAAAUCCUGCGGCUCAACCGCAGACGGUCGUGGGGAACUGGAAGGCUAGAGUGCGGGAGAGGAGAGUGGAAUUCCCGGUGUAGCGGUGAAAUGCGCAGAUAUCGGGAAGAACACCCGUGGCGAAGGCGGCUCUCUGGAACGCAACUGACGCUGAGACGCGAAAGCGUGGGGAGCAAACAGG
rnacentral:rRNA from 1 species